ensembl:lncRNA
CCCUCCCGUCCUGCCUCCCCCUCCUCUCGGCUCAGCAGCGCUUCGUCGCGGCUUCUCUCUCGUGCCCUGCGCGCUCCGGACUCCGGUAUUCAAACUUUCCUCAGAGGAGAGACGGACGGUUCAACGUCCCGCAGGUGGAGCAAAACUAACGACUCUAACCGACCCGGUUCCGUUGUUUGGACCCUGACGUGGGAUUCGUUACAUGCCUUCUGGCUCCUGCGCGGUGCGGGACGCGGUCUCGGUGCGCACCGGACCAAAAAUGGACCGCGGAACGCGUCCGCUCUGGUUCCGUGGCGAUAAGACCAACUGAAAGGAAUCCGGCACCGAAGAGGACCGACCGGAGCACCGCGCACGUUCCCUUCUCAUCUUCUCCUCGAGUCCACGCGCCAGCCAGCGAGACGUCAGUGGAGACUCGAGGACACGGACAUACUGUAGCGGACACCCAAGAAGGACGUAGCUUCGGGGGGGACAGACGUCACAAACCGCCAGGACGCGCGAGGAACAGUCAGACGUGCACGCAGGAGGGAAAACGAAUCAUUGGAAACAUUUCAGCAGUUUGCACCCAUUGUGCUUUCUGAUGGCGGGUUUUUCUUGGACGGAAGCAACACGUUUUCCUGUUACAUCAAAGCGGCGGUCUGGGACCAGCCGGGCCAACUCCAGCAAUGAGCCAAAGAGCCAGAACAUCAGAGGAAGAAAAGCAGCUGUUAGACGCACGAGAAGCGUCCCGAAAAGGAAAAUCCUUCUGUUAAAUCAGACCAAAAGCCCCGUCGGAUGUUUCUGAGGCGGCUCUGACGGAGGAGGCCUUUUUUCCAGCUGAAGACCGGGUGA